UACGGGGGGGGCAAGCGUUGUUCGGAAUUACUGGGCGGAAAGGGCUCGUAGGCGGCCAACUAAGUCGGACGUGAAAUCCCCAGGCUCAACCUGGGAACUGCGUCCGAUACUGGAUGGCUUGAAUCCGGGAGAGGGAUGCAGAAUUCCAGGUGUAGCGGUGAAAUGCGUAGAUAUCUGGAGGAAUACCGGUGGCGAAGGCGGGUCUCUGGGCAGUAACUGACGCUGAGGAGCGAAAGCGUGGGGAGCGAACAGG
rnacentral:rRNA from 1 species